AACGAACGCUGGCGGCAGGCCUAACACAUGCAAGUCGAGCGCCCAGCAAUGGGGAGCGGCGGACGGGUGAGUAACACGUGGGAAUAUGCCUUUCGGUUCGGCACAACUCAGGGAAACUUGAGCUAAUUCCGGAUACGCCCUUACGGGGAAAGAUUUAUCGCCGAAAGAUUAGCCCGCGUUGGAUUAGCUAGUUGGUGAGGUAACGGCCCAUCAAGGCGACGAUCCAUAGCUGGUGAGAGAACGACCAGCCACACUGGGACUGAGACACGGCCCAGACUCCUACGGGAGGCAGCAGUGGGGAAUUGUUCGCAAUGGGCGCAAGCCUGACGACGCAACGCCGCGUGGAGGAUGAAGAUCUUCGGGUCGUAAACU
rnacentral:rRNA from 1 species